AUUGAACGCUGGCGGCAUGCCUAACACAUGCAAGUCGAACGGAGAUAGGGGCAACCUUAUUUCAGUGGCGGACGGGUGAGGAAUGCGUCGGAAUCCGCCCUAUGGUGGGGAGUAACACAGGGAAACUUGUGCUAAUACCGCAUAAUGUCGAGAGACCAAAGCAGGGGACCGGCAAGGCCUUGCGCGAUAGGAUGAGCCGACGCCCGAUUAGCUUGUUGGUAGGGUAAUGGCCUACCAAGGCGACGAUCGGUAGCUGGUCUGAGAGGAUGAUCAGCCACACUGGCACUGGAACACGGGCCAGACUCCUACGGGAGGCAGCAGUGGGGAAUAUUGCGCAAUGGGCGAAAGCCUGACGCAGCCACGCCGCGUGAGCGAUGAAGGCCUCGGUCGUAAAGACUCUGUGGGGAGGA
rnacentral:rRNA from 1 species